GAUCAUGGCUCAGGAUGAACGCUAGCUACAGGCUUAACACAUGCAAGUCGAGGGGCAGCAUUCUUCUAGCAAUAGAAGAGAUGGCGACCGGCGCACGGGUGAGUAACACGUAUCCAACCUACCGAUAACUCCGGAAUAGCCUUUCGAAAGAAAGAUUAAUACCGGAUAGUAUACGAAUAUCGCAUGAUAUUUUUAUUAAAGAAUUUCGGUUAUCGAUGGGGAUGCGUUCCAUUAGUUUGUUGGG
rnacentral:rRNA from 1 species